rnacentral:rRNA from 1 species
CAAUAGCUACUUGCAUCAUAGUUAAUAUGAUGCAAGCUCGACUAAGUUGAAUAAAAUUCUAGGUAGAAUUAUGAUAAUGACAUUGUCUGCCUAUGUGUCUUGACCAAAUUACGUGCCAGCAGUCGCGGGAAUACGUAGAAGACUAGUGUUAUUCAUGUUUAAUCGGUUUAAAGGGUACCUAGACGGUGAAUCAAGCUUUGGUGUAAAUAAUAAAAACCAUAUUGUAUAAGACCUAUAUUUGAGAUACAUAUUUACAUAUGAUAAGGACUAAUUUACUAGAGUUACUUACGAGGGGGUAUUAAAGUACUGCUGGUGUAGAGAUGAAAUUCUGUCAUACCUCUUUUCGAAAGAAAAAUCAUGGCACAGGUAUAGGCGAAGGCAUCCCCUUAUGGGCUAACUGACGUUGAGGGACGAAGGCUUCAUGUAACAAACAGGAUUAGAUACCCUAGUAGUUGAAAGCAGAAAAUGAUGAAUGUCAUAGAUUAGAUAUAUAAGUUUAUUCUAUAAAUGAAAGUGUAAGCAUUCCACCUCAUGAGUAAUUUGGCAACAUUGGAAUUGAAAUCAUUAGACCGUUUCUGAAACCAGUAGUGAAGUAUGUUGUUUAAUUUGAUACUCCGCAAAAAACCUUACCACAAUUUGAAUAUUUAGAUCUUUUAUUGUUUUCAUCUUAAUUUUAUUAUGAUUUUAUUUUUAUUUAAAAAAAAAUAAAAAAUUAAGAAUAAGGCAAUA